rnacentral:rRNA from 1 species
UAUCAGCUUGUUGGUGAGGUAACGGCUCACCAAGGCUUCGACGGGUAGCUGGUCUGAGAGGACGAUCAGCCACACUGGCACUGCGACACGGGCCAGACUCCUACGGGAGGCAGCAGUAAGGAAUAUUGCGCAAUGGGCGAAAGCCUGACGCAGCGACGCCGCGUGGGCGAUGAAGGCCUUCGGGUCGUAAAGCCCUGUCGAGUGGGACGAAACGUACGAGCUCUAACAUAGCUCGUGCCUGACGGUACCACUGGAGGAAGCCCCGGCUAACUCCGUGCCAGCAGCCGCGGUAAUACGGAGGGGGCUAGCGUUAUUCGGAAUUAUUGGGCGUAAAGGGCGUGUAGGCGGCCUAGUGUGUCCCAUGUGAAAGCCCUCGGCUCAACCGGGGAACUGCAUGGGAAACUGCUUGGCUUGAGUCCGGGAGAGGAGAGCGGAAUUCCCAGUGUAGCGGUGAAAUGCGUAGAUAUUGGGAGGAACACCGGUGGCGAAGGCGGCUCUCUGGACCGGUACUGACGCUGAGACGCGAAAGCUAGGGGAGCAAACGGGAUUAGAUACCCCGGUAGUCCUAGCCGUAAAACGAUGAGCACUUGGUGUGGCGGGUAUCGACCCCUGCCGUGCCGAAGCUAACGCAUUAAGUACUCCGCCUGGGGAGUACGGCCGCAAGGCUGAAACUCAAAGAAUUGACGGGGGCCCGCACAAGCGGUGGAGCAUGUGGUUCAAUUCGACGCAACGCGAAGAACCUUACCUGGG